GAUGAAGAACGCAGCGAAAUGCGAUAAGUAGUGUGAAUUGCAGAAUUCAGUGAAUCAUCGAAUCUUUGAACGCACAUUGCGGCCAUAGGUAUUCCUUUGGCCAUGCCUGUUCGAGCGUCAUUUACACCCUCAAGCCUAGCUUGGUGUUGGGCGCCUGUCCCGCCGUUUUCGCGCGCGGACUCGCCUCAAAGUCAUUGGCGGCGGUCGUGCCGUCCCCCUCGCGCAGCACAUUUGCGCUUCUCGGAGGCCCGGCGGAUCCGCGCUCCAGCAAGACCUUUCACGACUUGACCUCGGAUCAGGUAGGGAUACCCGCUGAACUUAAGCAUAUCAAUAACGGAAGA
rnacentral:misc_RNA from 1 species